UACGUAGGGUGCAAGCGUUAAUCGGAAUUACUGGGCGUAAAGCGUGCGCAGGCGGUGAUGUAAGACAGAUGUGAAAUCCCCGGGCUCAACCUGGGAACUGCAUUUGUGACUGCAUCGCUGGAGUGCGGCAGAGGGGGAUGGAAUUCCGCGUGUAGCAGUGAAAUGCGAGAUAUGCGGAGGAACACCGAUGGCGAAGGCAAUCCCCUGGGCCUGCACUGACGCUCAUGCACGAAAGCGUGGGGAGCAAACAGG
rnacentral:rRNA from 1 species